GACGAACGCUGGCGGCGUGCUUAACACAUGCAAGUCGAACGGAAAGACCCUGCUUUUGUGGGUUUCUCGAGUGGCGAACGGGUGAGUAACACGUGAGUAACCUGCCCUUGACUUUGUGAUAACUUCAGGGAACUGGGGCUCAUACAGCAUAGGAGCUCCUGCUGCAUGGUGGGCGUUGGUAAGUUUCGGCCGUUGGGGCUGGACUGGCGGCUUAUCCGCUUGUUGGUGGGGUAGUGGCUGACGAAGUCUUUGACGGGUAGCCGGCCUGGGAGGUGUACCGGGGUCAUUGGGACUGAGGUAGGGCGCAGUAGGGUAUGGGAGGCAGCAGUGGGGAGUAUGGCACAACGGGCGGAAGUGUGAUACAGCAACGUCGCGUGCGGGAUGACGGGUUACGGGGGGUAAACAGCUGUCGAAGGUGAUGAAGCGUGAGUGACGGUAAUGGGUAAAGAAGCAACGGCUAACUACGUG
rnacentral:rRNA from 1 species